UACGAAGGGGGCUAGCGUUGCUCGGAAUUACUGGGCGUAAAGGGCGCGUAGGCGGCACUGUUAGUCAGGCGUGAAAUUCCUGGGCUCAACCUGGGGACUGCGCUUGAUACGGCAGAGCUUGAGGAUGGAAGAGGGUCGCGGAAUUCCCAGUGUAGAGGUGAAAUUCGUGAGAUAUUGGGAAGAACACCGGUGGCGAAGGCGGCGACCUGGUCCAUUACUGGACGCUGAGGCGCGAAAGCGUGGGGAGCAAACAGG
rnacentral:rRNA from 1 species